rnacentral:lncRNA from 1 species
AGAAGAACAAGCCGCUUGCGGGCAAGUACGAGGUCCAGGGCUUCCCUACCCUUAAGAUCUUCAGGAACGGAGGAAAGAGCAUUCAGGAAUACAAGGGUCCCAGGGAGGCCGAGGGAAUUGUUGAAUACUUGAAGAAGCAGGUUGGCCCUGCUUCCAAGGAGAUCAAGGCACCUGAAGAUGCCACUUACCUUGAAGACGGCAAGAUCCACAUUGUAAACUUCUCAUCUUGUCUGUUCUUACUUUCAUAUAGCAAUUGCCAUAUAGCCAUGGUUGAUGUUCUAUGUCUGCUGACUAAGUAAUGGUGGCAAUUGUAUAGGUUGGUGUUUUCACGGAAUUCAGUGGCCCUGAGUUUACGAACUUCCUUGAGGUUGCUGAGAAGCUGCGGUCUGAUUAUGACUUUGGCCACACUGUGCAUGCCAACCAUCUCCCACGUGGUGAUGCAGCAGUGGAGAGGCCAGUGGUCAGGCUAUUCAAGC